CAUGACUACUUCCAAGAUUUGAUAUAUUUUGUCCCAGGAGCUGUCUCGAGAUUACCACCUUGGUUCACAAUGCUUUAUUACUACAUUGCUUAUAUUGGAAUUGUGAAGAACAAAGAGUGGCCUUUUUUAGGUUCCAUCUUAUGAUGGGCAUGUUGUUGGAAACAGCCACGCAGUUGAUAUGGUAUACGAGCAACUUCUUUCCUCUCAUACACUACAAAGGUACGUAUGGGAUGUAUUAUUGGGCAGGUGUGGGAUUAGCAUACAUUUUGGUUCUGUUGCAGUGUGUACGGUGUGCUCUUGCUGGUGGUUAUGCUCAUAUCCCUGGAAUUAGCGACGCCGCCCUAAUCCAUACUCUGUUUAAUUUAGGAGGCNNNNNNNNNGGAAGGGCCUCAGGGUUUGAGUUCACAUACUAGGAUUGCUGGCAUGUGAUUUUGGACAAGGGAG
rnacentral:misc_RNA from 1 species